rnacentral:rRNA from 1 species
UACGAAGGGGGCUAGCGUUGCUCGGAAUUACUGGGCGUAAAGGGCGCGUAGGCGGACAGUUUAGUCAGAGGUGAAAGCCCAGGGCUCAACCUUGGAAUUGCCUUUGAUACUGGCUGUCUUGAGUUCGGGAGAGGUGAGUGGAAUGCCGAGUGUAGAGGUGAAAUUCGUGGAUAUUCGGCGGAACACCAGUGGCGAAGGCGACUCACUAGCCCGAUACUGACGCUGAGGCGCGAAAGCGUGGGGAGCAAACAGG